AGAUUAAUCACUACAGCUGCACUCGUUAGCAGAGAGUGAGCUCAGCACACAGAGAACUCAUGAUACUGGUGAGCUGUUUAUCCCAGCCAGCAGAAAACAUGCAGGUUACAGGACAGAUGGCAGAGGAUCUACAGAUUUACUCCCACCCCCGGAAUGACCAGACACAUACUGUAUGGUUGAUCAGUAGCUGAGCGGUCUUCAUACGAAUUGGACCACUUUCCGUCCUUAUAGAGUCAGGGUUAGAAUCUGUUUAUACCGAAGUCCGGUCAUUUACCUGAUUGCACUCUGGUUUUUAAAAAAGGAUUCCAUUUAAGUAUGGAAUCCCACUACUAAGCCACUCUGGUUUAAUCAAUUGGUUGUAUACCUAUUUUUUAUCGAUGCACACAGUGAGAGCUAUACUACUUCAGAAUAAUCUUAAAACAUCUGGCAUUUGAAACUAUAACCCUGAGGAAGUCCCAGAUAGGGACGAAACGCGUUGGGUUUUGUUCAAGUACUGUAUCCAUCUAUGCUAUAUGCUGUCAAUGGAGAAUUGUCACAAGCUUCAAGUCCCACCUGGACUCUCACCGGCAGAGAAUCACUAUACCAAUUGAAUGUCUAGCAGAUAAGAUCUGUUUAAAUUCUUAUUGUGAUUUCAUGCUGUUGUUAAAUUUUUAUGUAAUA